UUCACAUCAAUAAAGCAACGUGGGUCAGAUAAAAGUCCUGUGCCCACCUUACAGAUGUUGGAAGUGACCACGUGUUCAUGCCAUUUCUUGGCCACAGAAAUAUUCUUUUCCGUGAUCCAUUGAUACAGUCUGGUUGCUCAUAGACAGCACCUCCUUCCUUUCUGCACGACUUUUCAACUCUUACCCAGGCGAGGUUUCUGGUUAAUAAGAAGGCUGCCGACUCAACGCUGCUGGACUGGGUGCCGUUCUCUCUCGUGUCGGAUCAGGGCUCUUCCUUGCUGCUUCUCGGUAUUUCCUCAUGGCCUCCUGAGGCAGCUGAAAAAGAAAAGCCAAGGGACCCAGGCCAGCUGGAGAGGACAGGUCAGAGCCAUGGGCUGGUCACGCAGCCAGCCGAGGGCCACGGGCACGCAGGUGAAGCUCGUCUUAGGAAUUAGCGAGAACGUGACGGGCUUCCAAAGGGGCAGACUCACCAGCUGCUUCCUUGUGAAGGAACAUUUACGGUGUAGGGUGACUGGCCAGGAUGGAGCGACCCAAGCCGUGCCUCCUGCUGUGACACAGCUGGAAAAGCCACCCCCCUCCAAGGCUUGGGGGUGGUGUGGGCAUCUGCCUCAGCAGCUACGGCACCGUGGACAAGUGGGCCACCUCUCGGGUCCUCAGAUUCCAUAUCCUAACAUGGAGCUGAUGAUAAUUACAUCUCAGAAGUGGAACUCAGGACCCGAUGGAUUUCACCCGUGUUUACACCCGCCCAGAACACUGCAGGUGCGUCAUUGACGUGUACCUGGUCCUCCACUCUGCACCUGUUCUAGGCCCUGACUUUGGAGCUGUGACGUCAGACCGGUGGUCCCAAGCUUUUGAACCUCAGGUUCUCCCUGCCAGACAUUUCUGGGAGCAUUGAGGAGCAGGGCUGGGGCGCCCUCGCCCGCGGUGACACAUCGUGAGUCGUCGGCAGCCUGUGGACGUGAUGAGCCUCUGUGGUGCAGGCGGUGUGGGAUUUCACGACCCACCGCUGAGCAGGCACUGGCGCCCUGACCUUUCUUGUAAAAUCUUUACUUUUGCGCACAAGGCACUCACUCCGGUUGGCCUCUCCAGCCAAUCUCGUGAUAAUUGCUGACAGAGUGAGUGUCCUGGAGCCCAAGCCUCACGUUCGACAAGGGGAGCGCAAGCCCGCGGCAUUGGGGGGGAGGGGGGGGCUACGUGCAUUGAGCAAUAGCAGCAUAACAAAGCUCACCACCCAGGUAAACACCAUCACGGUGAGGACUGAGCUUGGGUGAGGCGCCCAACAUUUUAUCAUAAUCUGUGCCGCCGUGGCAGUCGCUUGCCUUGCAAAGCCACGCAGCCAAGAAAUCUUAGCCUCCUGUUGGCAGUCGAGCGCGUAGGCAUAGAGCCCUGGCCCCUCACCGCUGCCAGAGAGAAGGGAUAACGUCCAGCACUCUUCCCCAGAAGGAUGUCACACAGACUCCAGUCCCUAGCAACCGGUCUGCUGGUGGAACAGCUAGACGGGAUUCCAGCGUCGAAGGAUCACGACAAACCACCCUGGGCAUUUUUCUCUCUGUGAGUAAUAUUCAUAGGAUCGCAUUUACAUUUUCUGUGUAAUAAAUCAAAAGCAAGAUA